rnacentral:rRNA from 1 species
CCUACGGGAGGCAGCAGUGGGGAAUAUUGGACAAUGGGGGGAACCCUGAUCCAGCCAUGCCGCGUGUGUGAAGAAGGCCCUCGGGUUGUAAAGCACUUUCAGUGAGGAAGAACGCCUGGUGGUUAAUACCCAUCAGGAAAGACAUCACUCACAGAAGAAGCACCGGCUAACUCCGUGCCAGCAGCCGCGGUAAUACGGAGGGUGCGAGCGUUAAUCGGAAUUACUGGGCGUAAAGCGCGCGUAGGUGGCUUGAUAAGCCGGUUGUGAAAGCCCCGGGCUCAACCUGGGAACGGCAUCCGGAACUGUCCAGCUAGAGUGCAGGAGAGGAAGGUAGAAUUCCCGGUGUAGCGGUGAAAUGCGUAGAGAUUGGGAAGAACACCAGUGGCGAAGGCGGCAUUCUGGACUGACACUGACACUGAGGUGCGAAAGCGUGGGUAGCAAACAGGAUUAGAUACCCUAGUAGUC